UUGGUUGGCUAGGGGAAUCGCACCACAUGUUGAUUGACAUCUGGCUGGUCCAGUUUGCUCCGCUGGGCUCGACCCGAGGGGUAGGGUGUCAAGAGAGCGGGGCUCUCGGGAGAGCUGCGGCUCUCAGCUUCCGUUCACGAGGGCGUGAACUUGCAGGGAAGCGUGGUAGAUUGUAAGCAACCAAAGGGAACGACUCGAGAACGAUCCAUAGGGGUUCAAAUAUA
rnacentral:lncRNA from 1 species